UACGUAGGCAGCGAGCGUUGUUCGGAGUUACUGGGCGUAAAGGGUGUGUAGGCGGUUGUUUAAGUUUGGUGUGAAAUCUCCCGGCUCAACUGGGAGGGUGCGCCGAAUACUGAAUGACUUCGAGUGCGGGAGAGGAAAGUGGAAUUCCUGGUGUAGCGGUGAAAUGCGUAGAUAUCAGGAGGAACACCGGUGGUGUAGACGGCUUUCUGGACCGUAACUGACGCUGAGACACGAAAGCGUGGGUAGCAAACGGG
rnacentral:rRNA from 1 species